AGAGUUUGAUCAUGGCUCAGGACGAACGCUGGCGGCGUGCUUAACACAUGCAAGUCGAACGGAAAGGCCCCUUCGGGGGUACUCGAGUGGCGAACGGGUGAGUAACACGUGGGUGAUCUGCCCUGCACUUUGGGAUAAGCCUGGGGAACUGGGUCUAAUACCGAAUAGGACCGCAUGCUUCAUGGUGUGUGGUGGAAAGCUUUUGCGGUGUGGGAUGGGCCCGCGGCCUAUCAGCUUGUUGGUGGGGUAAUGGCCUACCAAGGCGACGACGGGUAGCCGGCCUGAGAGGGUGUCCGGCCACACUGGGACUGAGAUACGGCCCAGACUCCUACGGGAGGCAGUAGUGGGGAAUAUUGCACAAUGGGCGCAAGCCUGAUGCAGCGACGCCGCGUGGGGGAUGACGGCCUUCGGGUUGUAAACCUCUUUCAGUAUCGGCGAAGCUCCAGGAUUUUUCUUGGGGUGACGGUAGGUACAGAAGAAGCACCGGCCAACUACGUGCCAGCAGCCGCGGUAAUACGUAGGGUGCGAGCGUUGUCCGGAAUUACUGGGCGUAAAGAGCUCGUAGGUGGUUUGUCACGUUGUCCGUGAAAACUCACAGCUUAACUGUGGGCGUGCGGGCGAUACGGGCAGACUGGAGUACUGUAGGGGAGACUGGAAUUCCUGGUGUAGCGGUGGAAUGCGCAGAUAUCAGGAGGAACACCGGUGGCGAAGGCGGGUCUCUGGGCAGUAACUGACGCUGAGGAGCGAAAGCGUGGGGAGCGAACAGGAUUAGAUACCCUGGUAGUCCAA
rnacentral:rRNA from 1 species